ensembl:snoRNA SNORA8 small nucleolar RNA, H/ACA box 8
UGCACUGUGUGGUAUCUGCAGCCAGCUGGUCCAUCAGCUGGUUUGUUCAAAAGUCAGUGCUAAAGAAAGUCUGCAUCUGGCAUCGUUGGUCUCCAUCCAGCCUGUGGUUGGAGUCCUGGUAUUGGUGCUGAAACAAAG